rnacentral:rRNA from 1 species
GCCCAAGAGAUCGGGAUAACACCUGGAAACAGAUGCUAAUACCGGAUAACAACAGAUGAUGCCUAUCAACUGUUUAAAAGAUGGUUCUGCUAUUACUCUUGGAUGGACCUGCGGUGCAUUAGCUAGUUGGUAGGGUAACGGCCUACCAAGGCGAUGAUGCAUAGCCGAGUUGAGAGACUGAUCGGCCACAUUGGGACUGAGACACGGGCCCAAACUCCUACGGGAGGCAGCAGCC